rfam:Gonium pectorale scaffold00010, whole genome shotgun sequence.
CACCCGGUGUUUUUCAACACCACCUAGCUCUCGGAAUGAUUUAUAU